UUGAAGGUCGGGAGGCCCUUGGGGAGGCCGGAGCUGGGGCGGGCUGGCAAGUGCAGGGGCUUGAGCUCGACCUGAGCACGCUUGCAAGGUUGAUGACAGACCCGGAACGCUUGGGCGCUGGGCCUGAAGUGAAGCCUUCUCCAGCUCUGGAGCUGGGAAGACUCGGAUCAUUCCAGCCUGGUCACCGGCAAGCAGAGGCAGAGGUUCUCAUCGGAUCGUGAAUGUGUGGGGUACUGCUCUACAAAACCCAAACUGAUCUUCAAGUAGGAACAAGGAGACAAUCUGUGGUCAUUAAAUAAAGAGAAUGAACUUCUAAGUCCAAGUUCCCCAGAUGACUGCCACCCUGAUAAACUCUCAGAGAAGAGCCCAGAAAAUGAAGGCAAACAUUUAUCACAAAUUUUGUUCACCAACAAAGCAUUGACUAUAGAACCAGGAAUCUCUGCAAAACCAUGUGAUGUGGACAUGCAAGAAUGAGGCCUUCCUUAUAAAUGUGACACCAUAGGUUCUACAUAUGUAGGUUUCAUCCCACUGUUCUUGAAAUAUCAGUAUACAGGGAAAAGGCAUAUGAGAUGAGCUUACAUGAGAAAUGGCUCCUCAGAACGAAUACUGGAACAAAAUCAUUUGUUUAUAUUAAAUAUAGAGAAGCACUUAAUCAUAUAGCAAAAGUUAAUCAGCAUCAGAAAAUUCAGAAUCUGGGACAAGCUCUUAACUAUAGUGAAAGUAGAAAAUCUCUUCCUGAAAAGGCUUCUCUCCUUAUAUCUCAGAGUACCCACCCCAAACUGUUGUGGAAAUAUGGUGGAUUCAAUAUAUCUGUGGAAACCCC